GAUGAACGCUGGCGGCGUGCCUAAUACAUGCAAGUCGAGCGAACGGACGAGAAGCUUGCUUCUCUGAUGUUAGCGGCGGACGGGUGAGUAACACGUGGAUAACCUACCUAUAAGACUGGGAUAACUUCGGGAAACCGGAGCUAAUACCGGAUAAUAUUUUGAACCGCAUGGUUCAAAAGUGAAAGACGGUCUUGCUGUCACUUAUAGAUGGAUCCGCGCUGCAUUAGCUAGUUGGUAAGGUAACGGCUUACCAAGGCAACGAUGCAUAGCCGACCUGAGAGGGUGAUCGGCCACACUGGAACUGAGACACGGUCCAGACUCCUACGGGAGGCAGCAGUAGGGAAUCUUCAGCAAUGGGAGAAAGCCUGACGGAGCAACGCCGCGUGAGUGAUGAAGGUCUUCGGAUCGUAAAACUCUGUUAUUAGGGAAGAACAUAUGUGUAAGUAACUGUGCACAUCUUGACGGUACCUAAUCAGAAAGCCACGGCUAACUACGUG
rnacentral:rRNA from 1 species